rnacentral:lncRNA from 1 species
AUCUGAUUUUAUAUUAGAUCAUAUCUAAAAUUAGAUCCUAACACAUCUCAUACAUUGCUAAAUCUAGAUUUCAACUCUACAUGCAUAUAUGUUCAUGUCAUAAUGAACCUUCACUCUGAUACCAUUUGAAGGAAAGCAUGGUGGGUGAUGUGCAUGUAUUUUCAAAAUUUUACAGCAAAAUAUAUAUAGAUUAAACAAUUUAAUCUAUAAUGUAUGCAUAGAUCAAAAUCUAAGUCACUAUACAGGAUCUAUGAUAUAAACUAAUAUGCAUGUAUACAUAUCUGAAAUCUAAAAUUCAGCAAGUACAAAAUAUAUCUAAAUAUAAUUAGAUCAUAUCUAAUUCAUAUUUAGAUUAUAUUAAAAAUUAAUUAAGAUCAAAAUCUCAUACCUGAGCACGGAUAGUAGAUCACCGCAUUCAAAAUUCAUGAUAGAUAGUUCUUGAUGAUGCUUGGCAGCCGCACACACAUCCGGCCUCUACAGAUAUCCACACGAAGUCCAUGUGCUGAUCGAUAUCCUCGAAAGUGCUAGCUCGUGAAGACACCAUUCUUUGAUUGAUCUAAGAGGAACAUGAUAAAAUUGAAGAAUAAAAAGAUUUUCUUCUUUUUCUUCUUGAAUCUAUGCAUUUGAUCUUUACAAUAGAGAUCAAGAGAAGAAUUUUUUCUUCUCAAUUUCCUAUGCAUAAGAGAGAACCUUUCUCUCUUCCUUUCAUGCCCUUAAGAAGAACUUUUCUUCUCUGAUUUUCUAUGAUGAAAAUCAGAUCUAAUCUGAUUUCUCAUACUGAAAAUUAUAUAAAAUCUUGAGAUCUAAAAAA